GCCCCUUGAUAUAAUGUAUGAAGGUAAUUUAUGUAUUCUUUCGAAAAACAGUCCGUCGGCUUACUCGGAGUAUUUCCGGUGACCUUCCGACUUUCAGUGACCUUUCGUUUGUCAUAUGAUAUAAAGCCCCUAAAACACACGAAGAUUAAUAACAAAACCAUUGCAUGCACAAAAACAAUAAUUAUUGCAUCCUCACCUGCCGUAAUGUCGAACGUAUCCUAAAACAGGCAAAACACACGACGGUGCCUGUAAUCAACAAUGCUGUAUUUACGAGUAUAAAAUUCUCAAGUAUAUAAUCCAACCCGAUAUUCAUUGCACCAUAACUCAGGGCUAUUAUCCAAAUUAUAACCGACAUCACGACCGAAAGCUUCACAUUAAAAUAUUGGCGAUAGAUAAAAGGCGAUGUCACCGCAAGCCACCUUUCGAUAGCUAACGCCGAAAUGGUCAGAACAGAAGCUGCUGAUGCGAUAAAAUACGGAAUAUGUAAGAGCUUUUGAAUCAUUGGAUCGUCUCUAUGACCGAAUUCCGUAUCCAAAUUUUGUCUGAUAUGAAUAUACACAGCCAGACUUUCGGUUAUACAGCCGACGAGCAAAUCCGCCAACGCAAGAUUAAAGGUGAAGCAGUUAAAUUGCGUACGUAGUUCUUUAUUCGGAUCGAUUGUUAUAGCCAAACAGACGAACAAAUUUGUUGGAACUGUGACGACAAGCAAUAUGAAAGAGAAUGAAGCCGUAAUAGUUGAUAAUGCCGGUGGUGAUGUUGCGUUGCGACAACCAGAAGACACCCAGUCUAAAUACAUUGUUACAGUUUUUCAACGGAGGUAGUUUCAAUCUGUGUUGUGAUCACCGGAAUUCGGGAAACAGAUUCUGUGAUUUAAUAGUUACAUCCGCUUUCCAGGAAAAUUAUUUACUUCCGAGUUCCGGUAGCUGGACUUUCGCAUUAUAUUCGCAAAGUCCUUUUCAAAAAGACGUCAUUUUUAUUUCGCACGGUUCUUGUAUAAAUUGGUG